GUUUGAUCCUGGCUCAGAGCGAACGUUUGCGGCGGGCUUAACACAUGCAAGUCGAACGAGAAUCCCUUCGGGGAGGAAAGUGGCGCACGGGUGCGUAACACGUGGAUGACCUACCCCUUGGUUCGGGACAACAGCGGGAAACUGCUGCUAAUACCGGAUGUGUCGUAGCAAUACGAGAAAGGCCCGCAAGGGUCGCCAGAGGACGGGUCCGCGUCCCAUCAGCUAGUUGGUGAGGUAAUGGCUCACCAAGGCGAAGACGGGUAGCUGGUCUGAGAGGAUGAUCAGCCACACUGGAACUGAGACACGGUCCAGACUCCUACGGGAGGCAGCAGUGGGGAAUAUUGCGCAAUGGGCGAAAGCCUGACGCAGCCACGCCGCGUGAGCGAUGAAGGUCUUCGGAUCGUAAAGCUCUGUGGGGGGGAGAAGAAGAAAGUCGGUGAAGAGCCGGCCCUGACGGUAUCCCCUUAGCAAGCACCGGCUAACUCCGUGCCAGCAGCCGCGGUAAUACGGAGGGUGCAAACGUUG
rnacentral:rRNA from 1 species